rnacentral:tRNA from 1 species
GCCUGGGUGGCUCAGUUGGUUAAGCAUCCGACUUUGGCUCAGGUCAUGAUCUCACAGUUUGUGGGUUCAAGCCCCGCAUCGGGCU